rnacentral:rRNA from 1 species
AGUGAACGCUGGCGGUAUGCCUAACACAUGCAAGUCGAACGGCAGCACAGUAAGAUCUUGCUCUUACGGGUGGCGAGUGGCGGACGGGUGAGGAAUACAUCAGAAUCUACUUUUUCUUGGGUGAUAACGUGGGGAAACUGACGCUACUACCGCAUACUACCUACGGCUUAAAUCAAGAGUGCUUCGCACCUUUCGCGAUUGAAUUAGACGACGCCGGAUUAGCUAGUUGGCGGGGUAAGGGCCCACCAAGGCGACGAUCCGUAGCUGAUCUGAGAGGAUGAUCGGCCACACUGGAACUGAGACACGGUCCAGACUCCUACGGGAGGCAGCAGUGGGGAAUAUUGGACAAUGGGCGAAAGCCUGACCCAGCAAUACCGCGUGGGUGAAGAAGGUCUUCGGGUUGUAAAGCUCUGUUGUUGGGAAAGAACAGAUGUGGGUUAAUACCCCGACGUUUUGACGGUACCUAAAGAAUAAGCCCCGGCUAACUUCGUG